AGCAUCCGCGAGAACAGAGACCUACCUUAGACGGAGGCAAAAUUAUAUACAGAAAAGGGAAGAGAAUAGUGGAGGAAGCACCAGAAAGAGAAAGGGAGAGAAAAGACAGAAAAUAAAAAGGACAGAGGAUAAAGGGUGGACGAAAGAAAAGGUAACAAAAUGAAUAAAGCGAGGUAAAGAGAAACAAGGUGAGAAACUGUGAAAGAAUAAGAUAUGAACAAGAACUAAGAUUGAUUAAAGUGGAACAAGGGCAGAGGAGGACGCAAAUAAUUAAUUCAUUUGAAAAUUUCAAUUAAUAAAUUCUUGUAGAAAUGGAAGCUUGUUAAAUUUAUUUUAUAAGAUAACAAUGAAACUACAUAAAAUUUUUACACCGCUUUUAACUGAUUUGUAUCUCUCCCUACACUAUGACUGCAAUUUACCCUACGUGUUUUCAAAGCUUUAUUCGGUCAACAAGUCCUAUGAAUGUAAUAUCUCUUAUUAUCCAUAUUUAUACCUCUGUUAGUGAAUAGUAAUUGGACUUCUUACAUGAUACUAUGAAAAGUACUGUUAUAUAAUAUAUAUAUUGUUAUAUACAUAUUUAUUUAAUAGGAUUUAUAUGUUCUGAAAGAACUAAUUCUAAUACUUAAACUUUGUCCUAAGCAUUUUCUUUAUCUUAUACAUCUAAACAACAUACGUGCAUAAUAUUUUUAAAUUCACAAAAUUAAUGAUAAUGAUACAUCGAUGAUAAUGACAAUGAUGAUGAUAAAGUGAUACAUUUCAAUCGAUUUCUACUAUAUCAACGGGAAUAGAAGUAUGUACGAUGACCUUUUGUAGCUAUGUGCGUUUGUUUACUACUAGACUAUAAGAUAACUAUUUUCGAUGCACCCUACUAAUUGUUCUUCCAUUUCAAACAAUUGUGAUUAAUAUCCUAGAAAAGGGGACAAUAAUCGUUAUCUUCGAAAUUUGUAAAAUGCCACACGAAUGUUGAAUGGCAAUGUAUCCAAAACUCCAUUACCAAGACUGAACGUAUUAUCAGAAUGCAGAAAUUGUAGUAAAUGAACCUUUUAUCGAUUGAUAAGAUUUACGUUUGCACUAUUAAACAAUAUAAACAGAUUCACACAAAAUAUAUAAAUAAAUACAAUAUUUCUUUUU